rnacentral:other from 1 species
CACAAAAGGAGGGAGGGAGGGAGGGAGCCAGAGGCAUAACUUCCUCCACCUUCGGGAGCAGUGGACAGAGUGGGGGGCUUGGAGGGGAGACUGGGGAGCCUAUCCCCUCGGUCUGCCCCGUUUGCCCACCCACUCCGGUGUGUCUGUCGGUUGCAGUGUUGGAGGUCGGCGCCGGCCCCCGCCUUCCGCGUCCCCCACGGGAAGGAAGCACCCCCGGUAUUAAAACGAGCGGGGCGGAAAGAAGCCUUCAGUCGCCGGCCGGGAGGCGAGCCGAUGCCGAGCUGCUCCGCGUCCACCAUG